rnacentral:rRNA from 1 species
GUCUACGGCCACACCACCCUGAGCAUGCCCAAUCUCAUCUGAUCUUGGAAGCUAAGCAGGGCUGGGCUUGGUUAGUACCUGGAUGGGAGAAGUACUUUCAGAGGGUGGCACUUUUGCUUUAUUUUGUGCUAAGGACU